rnacentral:lncRNA from 1 species
AGGGGGAGGAAGAAGAGGGAUGGAGUAAGGCGACAAACCAAGGAUGGAAAGCUUCCCUGUACUCUUUCUUGUGAGUAAAGUGUAUGUUACUUCGUGGCACUGGGGCUCAAACUCGGGGGAUGGGAGCGGGGUAGGGCUCAGGUCUGAUAGGAAGGUGCUCUUCCUCUGACCUCCUCGCUUUGAAACACAGUGUGGCCAGUGUCAAGACUGGUAGGAACUGUACCACGCAUGCGUUUAGCGCCAGGCCAGCCAGCAGAAUUGGGCUUCUCGCAGGCACCUUGUGGAAGGGCAGAUCGUUCUACCUAAUUUAACCAGGAGUGACAGGUACUUUUUGCCAGCACCACAGUGUAAUGAGAGAAGAGCCAGGGAUUGGAGGAGCUUAGAGAGGUACUCACGGGUGGAACAUAGAAUCUGAGCAGAGUAAAGAGAAAACAGGGCUCUUGAGACCGGUGAGGGUACCGACCCUGAGUCAGGACCCACACUGUAGAGACAGUGAGUCCUGGUGGGAUCAGAAUAUAUACAGCUUUGUCCUUCAUAAAUCUCCCCAGAUACUUCCUUGUUGGGCAGGGGAGAUGGUUCAAGCAGGGGGAAAAGAAAAGCACCUGCCAUCUUCAGUUUGAUACCCGUGGAAGGAGAAAAACAAUUUCCCAACAGUUAUUCCCAGACUUAUACAUGUCGGAUUCAUGUACCCUCACUUACAUCACACAAAAUAAUAACACUUGCCAGUACAUUUUAGUGUAAAUUGUUAUUUUAUUGUCAUUGAUUUAAGACAGAGUCUCCCUCCGUAGCUCAGGCUAGCCUUGAAUAACGAUGAUGAAGGUAAUAAGACACACACACACACAGGCACUCACACACCUCGAAGAGCUCACAUGCAUUUUUUUCUUCUUCCUUACCGUGCACUAGGAUGGCGACCCUUCCCCCAUGCACACCUGGGUGACUCUCAGUGGUUCUUCAGAGGUUUUGGAGUAAAGACAGUGUCCCCAAGAGACCAGGAUAAGAUGAAAAGCUAGGGAAGGAGAAAGCAGGAGGGAAAGUCUUUUAGAGAGAAAAACAAUUCAACCUAAGGAUUUAGUGCAUGGAUGCUGUUAAGAAAUGUCCUUGUGGGAAAGGUGUGGUGGGAACAUGACAAUCACUUCACUGGGGACUGUGGCUCUCCUAGGCUGACCAGUGCUUUUGUGUGUCGACCACAAGGUGGGUAUUUACCUAAAGCUUAUCCUGCAGGAAUUCUCCUAUUUGUGGAUUAAGUCAGCUUCCUAUCGCUGGCUCUCUGGUCAUUAACCAAGUGUGGACUUUUGAAUCAGAAGCAGGCCCUUUAAUCAGUCUGGACUGGCCUUUCAGUGUACAUGUGAUAGAGCUGAGCCCUAGCAAGGUGAAGCCUGCUCUUUCUACGUCAGUGCCUUAAUUCUGGGGCUGUGUUCCUGCCUCAGGCUGUGGUCACAGCACCGUCCCAUGUUUCUGUUGAAGAUCUGCGUCUUAUUCUGAAUUAAAAGCUCUUGGAAUCUUCCUUGCUUUAAAGUUAAACUGCUUCUCUCAUGGCUCAGGAAACUGGAACGCUGGAACGCAGGAAGUGCAACAGGGAGAUUUUUGGGUGUUUUGAAAAGUAUCUGAUACACAUACACGUAUACGUGUACAUGUACACACACGCACACUCGCUCACACACUGUGCGUGUGUGUACACCCCUCCUUCCACUAUGUGGGUCUUCAGGCUUGGCACAGCAUCUUUCCCAGACCCUUUGCUCUUUCUGACUUUUGAAAGAAGUAUUUAUGUGUUUGAUGUGCAUUAGUGCUUUACCUAAGUGUGUGCCUAUGUACCAUUUGCAUGCCUGGUGUCUGUAGAGACCAGGAGAAGGUAUCGUAGCCCCUGAAGCUGGAGUUAUAGGCAAUUGUCAGACCCAUAAGUAGGUAAUGGGAAUUCAACCUCUGAAACAAAACAAAAC